UGGAUAUUUUGGGAUGGCAAGGUCAUUGGAUAUUGUUGUCAGGGGUGGUGCUUGUAGGUGGGGCUGAAUUGGACUACUUAUCUCCGUGCAUCUUAAGCUUCCAUCUAUGAAUGAGAUUGCUUUUUGGAAAGAAACACCAUGAACACUCCACUACUGAUGUUUGGUAUGUGACCAUCACUAUCAAACUCUGCACACUUGCUAGAAUUUGUGUGUAUUAUCUCUGGACGCUGAAUGUCCUUAACAUUUGUAUGUUUCAUUUGUGCAGUUCUUCUGACUCUACCCUGCUACAGCGCACAUGGGCAGGUCAAUCCUUUUGGAAUUCCAGUCUCCGUCCAUGCUGGGAAGUUCUACGGCACGUCUCCCAGAGAUCACGUCUGCGGCGGGGUUAAUUAUAGAGAUCUAGAUUUCACCUGCUGUGAAGGAGUACGUCAUGAAGGGGCGGGGCUGUCCUGCUGUGGAAACAGGGUCUUUAACCUCACCCAGGCUUCCUGUUGUAAAGGUCAGUUAACUCUGAAUGUGAGCCAGCUGGUGUCAGAUUGCUGUGGGUGUAGGCCCUACGACCCACUCAACCAGCUGUGUUGUGACUCACGGAUCCUAACCAGGACCCAACCUCAUGCCAAGUGUUGUGGAAAAGAGCUUUACGAUGAAGACCACCAGCUUUGCUGUGGAAAUGUUUUGAAAGGAAGGAAGGUCCUGGCUAAAAUGUCCAGUCACCACCGAUGCUGUGGAGACCACCAGUUUGACCAGCAAAGCCACUGCUGCUGCUCUGAAACACUAUCCCCAGAGCCUCUCAAUGCAAGCUGCUGUGCAUCAACAAGUUCUAAUUACAGGGGAUUUGACGCGAGUUCUCCAAACUGUAUGCCAGGGGAGAGGCCCGAGGGUUGCUGUGUGAACCAUACAUCCUGCCAGGGGCAUCCUCACUCCCACCUCCAGACCCCUGUGGAAACACGCAGCCACACCCCAGGUCUCCACGAUGAUGCUGGCUGUGGCUCUCAGGUUUACAAUCCAGACAAAAAGACCUGCUGUGCCGGGAAGCUGUUCAAUAGGGUGCUCGGAAAAAACCUGUGCUGCGGUAAAACUCCCUAUGCUGUAGAGGACCGACGGGUGCUGUGCUGUAACCAGAUGUUGUACCUUGGGGUGGAGGCUGGGCACCAGUGCUCCCCAGGUGGCCACUUGUAUCUGCCAUCCCGUGAAAUUGUGUGUGAGUCACGCGUUCAUCUCAACGAUCUAGGCAAACACUGCUGUGGAGAAGAGACCUACUACCCUCAGGAUGAAAUCUGCUGCAACGGACACAAACACCACAGGUUGGGGAACAUGUCCUGCUGCGGAGGGAAGGCCUACGACCCCAGCAGUGGCCAGAUGAAGUGCUGUGCAGAUACUCUGUACAACCUGCAGGUUCAGGACUGGCUCUCAGAGGAUGCCCAGUGCUGUGGGAAUAUCCUGAUGGAGGCCGGCUCCACCUGCUGCUCCGCCCCAGGACUAGACCUGCUCUACCCUACCCAGCCAGGGUUCACCUGCUGUGGGCACCGCUACCCCAACUCCUCCCUGUGGUCUUGCUGUGCGGGCGUCCUGCACCCAAGGACUGAACGAAACACCACCAGCAUGAACAUGAUUCCAGGACUUAGGAUUCUACCACUGGGGGACCUGAAGACAGAAAAGUUGUGUGACAACAAAGUUCUGCUAGGGACAGUGGAGAGUGUGUCUGUGAAGAAGAAUACGCGAUCCAUCGUGAUGGUGAACGUCAUGUCCAUGCAGGCCUGGCGUGGCCAUGUCAACGCUCUGCCUUCCCCUCACUACCUCACAUUACCCGACCACUGCAGCUCUCCUGAAUUGGUGCCAGGCAACACUUACCUCUGGGUGAAAACAAGACAUUUCCCAGACACCAUAAACGUAAUCUCUGAUCUCAGCGACCAUCCCUCCCCUCUCCAUUCCAUCCUCUCCAGGUGCUCAAAAUGA
ensembl:lncRNA